rnacentral:rRNA from 1 species
UACAGAGGGUGCGAGCGUUGUUCGGAAUUACUGGGCGUAAAGGGCCAGUAGGCGGCCAACUAAGUCACACGUGAAAUCCCCAGGCUUAACCUGGGAACUGCGUGUGAUACUGGAUGGCUUGAAUUCGGGAGAGGGAUGCAGAAUUCCAGGUGUAGCGGUGAAAUGCGUAGAUAUCGGGAGGAACACCAGUGGCGAAGGCGACUACCUGGCCUGUUUCUUGACGCUGAGGCGCGAAAGCUAGGGGAGCAAACGGG